rnacentral:rRNA from 1 species
UACGUAGGGCGCAAGCGUUGUCCGGAAUUAUUGGGCGUAAAGAGCUCGUAGGCGGUUUGUCGCGUCUGCCGUGAAAACCCGAGGCUUAACCUCGGGCUGGCGGUGGAAACGGGCAGACUAGAGGUAGGUAGGGGAGAAUGGAAUUCCCGGUGUAGCGGUGAAAUGCGCAGAUAUCGGGAGGAACACCGGUGGCGAAGGCGGUUCUCUGGGCCUUACCUGACGCUGAGGAGCGAAAGCGUGGGGAGCGAACAGG